rnacentral:tRNA from 1 species
GUGGGUAUAACUCAGUAGUGAAGUGUAUGCCUAGUAUGCAUGAGGUCAUGGGUUCGAGCCCCACUACCUCCG